rnacentral:siRNA from 1 species
GUACUUGGCAGCUUGUUGUGUUG